AAAACACCCUUCAUUACCUCUCUUCAUUUUCGUUGGUGGGAUCAUACUGCUCCUUUUACUGAUCAUCAUAUUCAUCUCUCGAAAAGUGAUCAAACGCGCGAAAUUCAGAACGCUCAUUGCUCGGGCAGUGCAUCGACCAGCUAUUUCAACUUCGAGACAUUGAAGAAGGCUACCAAGAACUUCGACCAGUUGAAUCUUCUCGGAAGAGGUGGAUUUGGGCCUGUCUACUUGGGAAAGUUGGCCGAUGGAAGGCUGGUUGCUCUGAAAAAGCUGGCAUUCUAGAAAUCUCAGCAGGGAGAAUCAGAAUUCCUUGAUCACGAGCAUACAGCACAAGAAUCUCGUUCGACUUCUGGGUUGCUGUUCUGAUGGGGCGCAACGGCUUCUUGUCUAUGAGUACAUGAAAAACAGAAGUUUAGACCUUAUUUUUUAUGGUAGAACAUGACAUUGCUCGAGCUCAAAUGAAGCAAAAUUUCAUAUGAUUUGUGUAUGCAGGCAAAAAUGACAUAUUAUUGAACUGGGGCACGCGAUUUCAAAUCAUUCUCGGGGUUGCUCGAGGCCUACAGUAUCAGAAUCAUACACCGGGACAUUAAAGCUAGCAACAUUCUCCUUGAUGAUAGAUUUCAACCUAGAAUAGGCGACUUUGGCCUUGCGAGGUUUUUCCCAGAGGAUCAAGCGUAUCUCAGUACCGCAUUUGCUGGAACCUUAGCCUACACUGCACCCGAAUACGCCAUCAGAGGGGAGCUAACUGAAAAGGCAGACAUAUACAGCUUCGGAGUUCUGGUGCUUGAGAUUAUCAGCUGCAGGAGAAACACUGACCUAACUUUGCCAUCAGAGAUGCAAUACCUUCCAGAAUAUGUAAACUUAUCAUCCUUCACUAAAUAUCUUUACUUGUCACUCAUUUUGAUGCUCGUUAUCGCACUACGUGAUGGAGUACGUACUAAACAAGCCCAUCAGCCUAAAGCCCAAGAAAGAGUAUCAGUUCGGCAUGACUAAAGAGUAUCAGUCCGGCAUGACUAAAGAGUUCAGUUCGGCACAACCAAAG